GAGUUUAGAUGCACUGUGCUUGUUUGGACGAUCAAUAGCACCACCUCCAAGGACAGACAACUCUGCCGGCGGUCCUCACAGCGAUGAGCCCAAUAUUGAAGCUGGACAGGAAUAAGAUAUCCCACUGAAGUCUGCACAGUAGGAGCACAACCAUACCUAUAGAAGUGCAAUCACACAGCAAUGCAAGUAGGUGUCACAAUUGCUUUGAAAAAAGUCAGCAAGCCAUCAUCUCUCCCCAAGCUAAUAUAUAUAAUAAAUCUCUAAAUCCGGAUCACAUCUUGUGCCACUGUAUAAAAGAAGACCACAGAGCACUAUUAAAUCUACAGACUCUAAUUAUUAAAAGAGAAUUUUGUUGGACAUAUGUGAGUUUGCUGGUAUAGUAUAGUUUCCAAAAUGUAUGUGUGACUUUUGAAAACAGAUCUGUUUUUCUCAGGAUAUCUUGAAUUGAUCACUUCAUUGCCACGGUAUAUAUUCUAUAGGUGUGAUAGGAUUUAUUGUAAAAUUUAUUUGUAAAAGAUGUAUACAGUAGAGAUAAUAAAGAUGUGAUUGGAGAACUUGAGUACUUACAAAGUGGAAACAAAUUUGAUAUUUAUUUUUGUAAUGAUAUAAAAGCUUCUAGUAAUUUAUGCAAGUUGUAUUGCAAUGGAAUCUGAACUUUUUGUAAAUAAAUUUUGCUUGGUUUUUAUUUGAAACGUUGAUGGUUAUACAAUCUUUGGUUGUUUAACGAGAAUUCUUUACUAAUUUAUAUCUUUAAUUGUAAAUAAAAACAGACUAGUCUGCAACA